AUUGAACGCUGGCGGCAUGCUUUACACAUGCAAGUCGAACGGCAGCACGGACUUCGGUCUGGUGGCGAGUGGCGAACGGGUGAGUAAUACAUCGGAACGUACUCAGUAUGGGGGAUAACUAUCCGAAAGGAUAGCUAAUACCGCAUACGCCCUACGGGGGAAAGAGGGGGAUCGCAAGACCUAUUGUUAUUGGAGCGGCCGAUGGCUGAUUAGCUAGUUGGUAGGGUAAAGGCCUACCAAGGCAACGAUCAGUAGCGGGUCUUAGAGGACGAUCCGCCACACUGGAACUGAGACACGGUCCAGACUCCUACGGGAGGCAGCAGUGGGGAAUCUUGGACAAUGGGCGCAAGCCUGAUCCAGCAAUGCCGCGUGCGUGAAGAAGGCCUUCGGGUUGUAAAGCGCUUUUGUCAGGGAGCAAAUCCUUGUGGCUAAUACCCACCGGGGAUGAGAGUACCUGAAGAAUAAGGACCGGCUAACUACGUGCCAGCAGCCGCGGUAA
rnacentral:rRNA from 1 species